UUGCCAGUGGGGGGUGCCUAUACAUGCAGUCGAACGCUUCUUUCCUCCCGAGUGCUUGCACUCAAUUGGAAAGAGGAGUGGCGGACGGGUGAGUAACACGUGGGUAACCUACCCAUCAGAGGGGGAUAACACUUGGAAACAGGUGCUAAUACCGCAUAACAGUUUAUGCCGCAUGGCAUAAGAGUGAAAGGCGCUUUCGGGUGUCGCUGAUGGAUGGACCCGCGGUGCAUUAGCUAGUUGGUGAGGUAACGGCUCACCAAGGCCACGAUGCAUAGCCGACCUGAGAGGGUGAUCGGCCACACUGGGACUGAGACACGGCCCAGACUCCUACGGGAGGCAGCAGUAGGGAAUCUUCGGCAAUGGACGAAAGUCUGACCGAGCAACGCCGCGUGAGUGAAGAAGGUUUUCGGAUCGUAAAACUCUGUUGUUAGAGAAGAACAAGGACGUUAGUAACUGAACGUCCCCUGACGGUAUCUAACCAGAAAGCCACGGCUAACUACGUGCCAGCAGCCGCGGUAAUACGUAGGUGGCAAGCGUUGUCCGGAUUUAUUGGGCGUAAAGCGAGCGCAGGCGGUUUCUUAAGUCUGAUGUGAAAGCCCCCGGCUCAACCGGGGAGGGUCAUUGGAAACUGGGAGACUUGAGUGCAGAAGAGGAGAGUGGAAUUCCAUGUGUAGCGGUGAAAUGCGUAGAUAUAUGGAGGAACACCAGUGGCGAAGGCGGCUCUCUGGUCUGUAACUGACGCUGAGGCUCGAAAGCGUGGGGAGCAAACAGGAUUAGAUACCCUGGUAGUCCACGCCGUAAACGAUGAGUGCUAAGUGUUGGAGGGUUUCCGCCCUUCAGUGCUGCAGCAAACGCAUUAAGCACUCCGCCUGGGGAGUACGACCGCAAGGUUGAAACUCAAAGGAAUUGACGGGGGCCCGCACAAGCGGUGGAGCAUGUGGGUUUAAUUCGAAGCAACGCGAAGAACCUUACCAGGUCUUGACAUCCUUUGACCACUCUAGAGAUAGAGCUUUCCCUUCGGGGACAAAGUGACA
rnacentral:rRNA from 1 species